rfam:Salmo salar isolate Sally breed double haploid chromosome ssa14, whole genome shotgun sequence.
UGCAUUCACUACUGUAAGUCGCUCUGGAUAAGAGCGUCUGCUAACUGACUAAAA